rnacentral:rRNA from 1 species
UCGGAUUGUAGGCUGCAACUCGCCUACAUGAAGUUGGAAUCGCUAGUAAUCGCGAAUCAGCAUGUCGCGGUGAAUACGUUCCCGGGUCUUGUACACACCGCCCGUCACACCAUGGGAGUCAGCAACGCCCGAAGUCAGUGACCUAACCGAGAGGAAGGAGCUGCCGAAGGCGGGGCAGGUAACUGGGGUGAAGUCGUAACAAGGUAAC